GAGGGUAUAGCUCAGUGGUAGAGUGCGUGCUUAGUACGCAUGAGGUCCUGGGUUCAAUUCCCAGUACCUCCA
rnacentral:tRNA from 1 species